GAAUUGCCUUUGAUACUGUUAUUCUUGAGUGUAGUUGAAGUGGGCGGAAUAUAGCAUGUAGCGGUGAAAUGCAUAGAUAUGCUAUAGAACACCACUUGCGAAGGCAGCUCGCUAAACUAUAACUGACGCUGAGGCACGAAAGCGUGGGGAGCGAACAGGAUUAGAUACCCUGGUAGUCCACGCCGUAAACGAUGAACACUCGCUGUUGGCGAUACACAGUCAGCGGCUUAGCGAAAGCGUUAAGUGUUCCACCUGGGAAUUACGAUCGCAAGGUUGAAACUCAAAGGAAUUGACGGGGGCCCGCACAAGCGGAGGAGCAUGUGGUUUAAUUCGAUGAUACGCGAGGAACCUUAGCUGGGCUUAAAUGCAUAUUGACGUACUGUG
rnacentral:rRNA from 1 species